CGAGGCCUCCGCAACCGGUAACAUCUCCACAUCUAUCCGUCAUCAACGUCGCUAGCCCACGCUGUGCUAUUAUUUUAUAGCGACAUAGCUCAAUGUCUGCUUUCCAACCUUUCACAAUUUGAUUCAAUAUCUUUGAGGCUGUGGAUCUCUCCCACUGUGUGACGAACGACUCGGCCCAUUAUGAAGCUUGUUUGAUGGGCUUAACAACCCUCCUUCACUUUCAUCAACCACCGCGUCCAAUCCCUGUCUAUUGGAUGGACAUUAACAUGACUGGUUUACUUGUAUACUGGAGGACUCUGGCUGGGAUAAACACCGAACAAACAGAACAAUAACGACGAGGUUGCCAAGACGUGUACAAGUCUUACACCACUGCUCACAGUGAAAUACGUAACAAAACACUAACGCCGACACUGUAUAAUUCAUAUCGCUGAUACUGCACUCAACGAUCCGUGGUAGUUUAAUACUGCCGACAAUGAUGUUGGGAGCUUCAAGUGGGUCAGUCGACAUCGUACACAUGGGAUGUUCGAGUAGACUGGGAAUCAGGCCUAAUGAAAAUUAUACGAUUAAUGCUGGAGAAUUGGUAUAGGAUGCCUGCACAACUACUGAUGCAGUCAGACAAUAUGUCGCCGCGUGAGAGAUACUCCAGUGCAGGGCCUGUCAGCCGACUCGCUGUGUGGAGACAGGGGCUCAUUCUUGCUUUAGAGAAGUCGCCUAAUCAUAGUACACUGCCACGAUACUUGAUAGUACAUUAGAAUAACAGGCUACAAUAAAAAAAUAAAUGUGUCUUGAAUGAAUGGAAAUUGCUAUAUAUGUAUUCACAGUUUGGAUUACUUGCCAAGGGACAUGUUUCACAGACAGAAUGUCACAAGGAAAUGGAGAGAAGUGGAGAACGGACAAAGUGCCACACGGUCUUUUUAAAAGGUCAAUUUGGAUGCAACUGAUUUCCCCCCUGAGAUGGGCCCCUGGACACAGUGUUACUUAGCCAAUCAACGACAGUGUACUAUCUAGCCCUCGGGAUGACGACUGUCAAUAACGCAGUGCCUACUUCCACAUGAUCGACUUCCGCCUAAGGGGGACAACUCCCAAGUAUUUAGGGACAAACACGCAGCCCUGACAUCGUUCACCUCCUAUUCAAGUUGGUGGGCGAGUUUCCAAACCCCAGACACAUUCAUAAUCACUA